GGGCAGAUCAGGAACUGGCCUGCACUUUAGAGACUGAUAAGAAUAAUCUAUCUGGAUCACAGGGUCACUGUUGAGCUUCUCAUCCAUGCCCAGUACACUGACUAGAAUACAGCUGUGCUCACAGAAUAUCAAAGGAGGGAAGGCAGGGCAGACCACUCUUCCUACACCAGUCAGCUUCUCAUUUUUUGAGAACUCAGACCUUCUUUCUCUCUAACAUCACCUUGACAGUCUUUCAUUGUUUUACACUGAUUGUUUCAUUUGUUUGAGGUUUUGUUUGUUUGUUUGUUUGUUUUUUGGUGGGGGGGCUGGUUGCAGGAGAGGAAGAGGAUGUGUUUUGUUCUGUUUUUCUAUCUACCACACUCUUCUCUCUUGCCUUUGUUACUAUGGUCUCUAUCAGCCCCUUGCAGUGAUUGGAAAUGUACACUGAUUGUUUCAUUUGUUUGGGGUUUUGUUUGUUUGUUUGUUUGUUUGUUUUUUGGUGGGGGGGCUGGUUGCAGGAGAGGAAGAGGAUGUGUUUUGUUGUUUUUCUAUCUACCACACUCUUCUCUCUUGCCUUUGUUACUAUGGUCUCUAUCAGCCCCUUGCAGUGAUUGGAAAUGUACACUGAUUGUUUCAUUUGUUUGGGGUUUUGUUUGUUUGUUUUGUUGUUUUUUGGUGGGGGGGAUGGGUGCAGGAGAGGAAGAGGAUGUGUUUUGUUGUUUUUCUAUCUACCACACUCUUCUCUCUUGCCUUUGUUACUAUGGUCUCUAUAAGCCCCUUGCAGUGAUUGGAAAUGUCCACUGAUUGUUUCAUUUGUUUGGGGUUUUGUUUGUUUGUUUUGUUGUUUUUUGGUGGGGGGGAUGGUUGCAGGAGAGGAAGAGGAUGUGUUUUGUUGUUUUUCUAUCUACCACACUCUUCACUCUUGCCUUUGUUACUAUGGUCUCUAUAAGCCCCUUGCAGUGAUUGGAAAUGUACACUGAUUGUUUCAUUUGUUUGAGGUUUUGUUUGUUUGUUUGUUUGUUUUUUGGUGGGGGGGAUGGUUGCAGGAGAGGAAGAGGAUGUGUUUUGGUCUGUUUUUCUAUCUACCACACUCUUCACUCUUGCCUUUGUUACUAUGGUCUCUAUCAGCCCCUUGCAGUGAUUGGAAAUGUCCACUGAUUGUUUCAUUUGUUUGGGGUUUUGUUUGUUUGUUUGUUUGUUUUUUGGUGGGGGGGCUGGUUGCAGGAGAGGAAGAGGAUGUGUUUUGUUCUGUUUUUCUAUCUACCACACUCUUCUCUCUUGCCUUUGUUACUAUGGUCUCUAUAAGCCCCUUGCAGUGAUUGGAAAUG
rnacentral:lncRNA from 1 species